UUCAUUUUGGUUCUCAAUGACAUUCUCCAACAUUUCUGAAAAUCAUAAUUAUGAAAAUGAAAUUUAUGACAAUAAAAUGUCUGUAUCAUACUAAUGAUUAAACAUGUAGAUUCUAUUUUGUUUCAUCAUUUCAAUUCCAAUAAUGUUAGUGUCUUAAGUGAUGAUUGGCACUACCUUACUAUUCAAAAUAAAUUCACUUACAGGAUUUCAAAGGUAGCUUAAGGUUUAAGGAAUCGUAAUCACCAGGAUGUACCCUUUCGACGUGAGCAAGUCCUCUGUAUCUUUGAACUAUGGGUACUGCCAGGAUCUCACACACCACACACCCCAUCUCCCUUCCUCAAGAGAGGACAGGUACCACUCCUAGUCACCGGAAAGACUCCGGCCUGAGCAAGCUCGAACCGCCGCCCUGUCAGACCAUGAAGCCUGGCAGCGCAGCGCUCUAACCAGUUGCGCCAUCCAUGUGGGGGACCCCCUAGAGAGGAGUUCUCCCAAGUUGAGGAGGCCCUGCUCGACCUUCUUUCUCCCACAGGGUAUGCAAGUCUGCCCAUUCCUGACAGCGAGGGUGGUUCUUUGAAUGCAGCUGGUGCUACACAGUGCCUUCCCUCCCAGGCUCUGGGUCCUGCUCAAGAAGGUACCCAUCCCUCCACAAGUGGUACACCGCAGGGAGAGUUUACUGUCAUGGUGAUUGAAGGCGAGGAGCGGAGAAUCCCAAUAAUAUCUGAUAGCAGCCUUGAGUCAAGGUUUCAUGGAGGAGAUUAAGGUGGCACCUCAGCUUCUUAAUGUAAAUGAAGUACGGGACCUUAUUUCCGACCUUGUGGGGACUCAAAGAGAGGCUGUGUCUUUACAGCGGGAGAAUGUGGCACUGCAGCGGGAGUGUGUUGCAAUGCAGCGGGAGACUGUGGCUGCCUUGCAGAAAUUAGCUGAAACACCAGCAGGCAUCCUAAAACUUGUCCAGGCUAUGGGAGGCCGAAUUAAAUAGGAAGCCAUAGGUUUUCCCCUCAUUUAAGCAAUUAAGGUUUAAAUCAUAUAGGAUUAAGCAUUUUUUAUUUCCUGGAUUUUUUUUCUCUCCUUUAAUCACUAAGUUAUGACGUAAAUCUU